AGGGUAGUUAGAUCCUCCCUGUAGUGACGUCAGAUUAUUGACAGCCUAUGGUUCGCUAGGGAAGGGUGGAUAAAAGGCUGCUUGGUGCCGACCGGAGGUGCGUCAUCUGUUCUGUGCCUGCGCUCUUCCUGUUAUUGGCAUUCGAUGGAGGUCUGUGUAUAAUACAUAGCCGUGCGGAUCUUUUAGCACCGCUUGUGUCGCUUGUGGGGCUUUGUGUACACUAAGGAGCUUAUUGCAAAGCAGCCGUUACGUUCGCCUAGUCCCAGCCUUCCCAUGUGUCUACCACUGGUGUUGGCGCAGCGUUUAGCGGCGUAGUCUAAUACAUACUGCCUGGCAUUAUCCCUUUGAUCUCUCGCGGAUAUUGAUGUCAGCUCUGCUAGUUGGUGUGGUGAACUGCUGUGUUACCCGGUAUGUGUAUUAUAUUUGAUUUGUCGUUUAUAUACUUUAAAUGGAUGUAUUAAUCAUGCGUGUUAUCUGUUAGGGUUAAGACUGUGCGUGCUGCAUUCCUUACUACUACCACAUCCUGAAGCACGCUGCUGUUUUGUUCCUGCUGGAAUUUGUUUUCUUUUCUUUCUUUUCUAUAUAUUUCUGAUUGUUGUUUAUUAUUUGAUUUGUUCUGAAUGAUCUGGCGCGUCUGUUAAAGCCUGCUCCUGUUGUGGCUGUAUCUAAAAACAUUCUUCCCGCACGUCUUGUGGGGACAUAAUCACGCGCCUAAAGGACGUGUUCAUUCAGAUUUGUUUCGUUUAUUAUUUUUCUUUAUUAUUCCCAUUCAACUCAGUGCUCUGAGAUUUUCUUUUGGGAUUUGUUACUUUAAGUUUCUUAGGAUUUUCUCUCUUUGAGGUUAUUAUUUAGCUGUCAACUUAUUAUUUUUUUUUGUUCAUCUAUCCUCAUCUAUUUACUUUGGGUAAAUAGUAAAUUAACAUUUACUUUCUAUUGAUAU